UGGGGAAUAUUGCACAAUGGGCGCAAGCCUGAUGCAGCCAUGCCGCGUGUAUGAAGAAGGCCUUCGGGUUGUAAAGUACUUUCAGCGGGGAGGAAGGGAGUAAAGUUAAUACCUUUGCUCAUUGACGUUACCCGCAGAAGAAGCACCGGCUAACUCCGUGCCAGCAGCCGCGGUAAUACGGAGGGUGCAAGCGUUAAUCGGAAUUACUGGGCGUAAAGCGCACGCAGGCGGUUUGUUAAGUCAGAUGUGAAAUCCCCGGGCUCAACCUGGGAACUGCAUCUGAUACUGGCAAGCUUGAGUCUCGUAGAGGGGGUUAGAAUUCCAGGUGUAGCGGUGAAAUGCUUAGAGAUCUGGAGGAAUACCGGUGGCGAAGGCGGCCCCCUGGACGAAGACUGACGCUCAGGUGCGAAAGCGUGGGGAGCAAACAGG
rnacentral:rRNA from 1 species